UACGGACUGUGCAAACGUUAUUCGGAAUCACUGGGCUUAAAGAGUCCGUAGGCGGCAUGUUAGGUGAGGUGUGAAAUCCCCCGGCUCAACCGAGGAAUUGCGCUUCAAACCGGCGUGCUAGAGGAAGAUAGAGGUGGGCGGAACUGAUGGUGGAGCGGUGAAAUGCGUUGAUAUCAUCAGGAACACCGGAGGCGAAGGCGGCCCACUGGGUCUUUUCUGACGCUGAGGGACGAAAGCUAGGGGAGCGAACGGG
rnacentral:rRNA from 1 species